rnacentral:rRNA from 1 species
GGCAGCAGCUAAGAAUAUUCCACAAUGGACGAAAGUCUGAUGGAGCGACGCCGCGUGGACGAUGAAGGCCGUGAGGUUGUAAAGUCCUUUUCUGAAGGGAGAAUAACGGGGACAGGGAAUGGUCCUCAGAUGACGUGAAUUCAGGAAUAAGCCCCGGCUAACUACGUGCCAGCAGCCGCGGUAACACGUAGGGGGCGAGCGUUGUUCGGAAUCAUUGGGCGUAAAGGGCGCGCAGGCGGCCAUGUAAGUCUGGUGUAAAAUGGUCAUGCUUAACAUGAUCAUGCGCUGGAAACUGUGUGGCUUGAGUCAACGAGGGGAUGCCGGAAUUCCAGGUGUAGGGGUGAAAUCUGUAGAUAUCUGGAAGAACACCAAUGGCGAAGGCAGGCAUCUGGCGACUGACUGACGCUGAGGCGCGAAGGUGCGGGGAGCAAACAGGUUUAGAUACCCUGGUAGUCCGCACAGUAAACGAUGUGCACCAGGUGGCGGGCAGCAGUGCUCGGUACCGAAGCAAACGCAUUAAGUGCACCGCCUGGGGAGUAUGCUCGCAAGGGUGAAACUCAAAGGAAUUGACGG